AGAAUCAACGCUGGCGGCGUGCCUAACACAUGCAAGUCGCACGAGAAAGUGGAGCAAUCCACGAGUAAAGUGGCGCACGGGUGAGUAACACGUGAAUAAUCUACCUCCGAGUGGGGAAUAACUGAGAGAAAUCUUAGCUAAUACCGCAUAAUACCUACGGGUCAAAGGAGCAAUUCGCUUCAGGAGGGGGUCGCGGCCGAUUAGCUAGUUGGCGGGUAAUGGCCCACCAAGGCAAUGAUCGGUA
rnacentral:rRNA from 1 species